GUUGCCUAANAAAUGAAUAGAAGUUCAGCCUCGGUGCACCUCAAAUCACACAAACAAAAUAAGACUAAGAGAAACACAUGAGAGUUAGUUAAAGGGGGUACAGCCCCUUUAACAAAGGACACAACCUUUCCAGGAGGAUAAAGAUCAUAAUACAUAAAACAUACUGUUCUAGUGGGCCUAAAAGCAGCCAUCUAAACAGAAAGCGUUAAAGCUCAGACAGAAAAAAGUUUAUUAUCCCGAUAAAAAAUCUUACUCCCCUAAGUACUAUUAGGCCAACCCAUGCCCCCAUGGAAGAGAUUAUGCUAAAAUGAGUAACAAGAAGGCCCGCCCUUCUCCAAGCACAAGUGUAAGCCAAACCGGACCAACCAUUGGCAACUAACGAACUCAAUCAAAGAGAGCAAUGUGAAUUACAAAAAAACCAAGAAAAAUCCACAACUAAGCUAUCGUUACCCCCACACUGGAGUGCCCUAAAGGAAAGACUAAAAGAAAAGGAAGGAACUCGGCAAACACAAGCCUCGCCUGUUUACCAAAAACAUCGCCUCCUGCAACGCAACCAAGUAUAGGAGGUCCAGCCUGCCCAGUGACUACAAGUUCAACGGCCGCGGUAUUUUG
rnacentral:rRNA from 1 species